rnacentral:rRNA from 1 species
UACGUAGGGUGCGAGCGUUAAUCGGAGUUACUGGGCGUAAAGCGUGCGCAGGCGGGCUUUUAAGCCAGACGUGAAAUCCCCGGGCUUAACCUGGGAAUGGCGUUUGGGACUGGAAGUCUGGAGUACGGCAGAGGAGACUGGAAUUCCUGGUGUAGCAGUGAAAUGCGUAGAUAUCAGGAGGAACACCGAUGGCGAAGGCAGGUCUCUGGGCUGAUACUGACGCUCAUGCACGAAGGCGUGGGGAGCAAACAGG